GGGAAGCUUGGGGUUCAGCUCCUUUUGCUUCAAGAGAGCCUGCACUUCAAUUAAUGAAAUUUUGAAGUAUGGCCUGAUUGUCAUUGCCAAGUCAAACUACAAGCAGUGAAGGUUGCUAUGAUUGCCAGAUAGGAAGAAUCUGAAGACAGAAAAGCUACACACAAGGAAUAUGUCAUUUAUCACCUUCACUUUUUGAUGCCUACGGAAGGCAAUGCGAAAUCACGCCAUAACGAUGACAACUACUUCAGA